rnacentral:lncRNA from 1 species
UGGCGCGCGCCGUGGCCGGCCUGCUGGCGGACCACUUGCCGCACCUGGCGCCCAUCAAGUGCGCCAUCACUUAGAUGUGGUGUGGAACUCAACAAAUGCCUCUACUUAAGCCUAAUCGUGCUAUCGCUUUGAUAUUUUUAUUUUUUUAAAGUUAUUAGUAGAUAAAAGUUGUUAUUAGAGUUAUAUUAUCGUACAAAGAUGUAUCGAGUACGGCUCUUGCCGUUGUGAUUUGUAAAAUUGUUAUUAGCGGUUCAACAUGCGUCAGUAAAUGUAAAGAACAACCGAAAUUCGUCCUAUUUAUAUGUACAAUACUGAAUCAGUUUUUCUUGAUUACAUUUAAGCGUUUCAGUAAAUCACUUCAAA